AAAAAUCUUUCUUUAACGCUUCUUUAUUUCUUGUUUCACAACUUUUAUUUUACGUCUCUUUUUAAAUGUCUCUAAUUACAACUUACGAAAAAAUCACUUACUUUUCAUAUUUCAUACUUUUAUAAAAACUAUUGAGAUUUAAAAAACCUUUAAAUUCUUAAAGAAACCAUUUCUCAUCCCAUUAUUAUUUUUCCUUCUCUUUUUUUCUAUAUUGAUUAAAAGUUUGAAACACAUGCCUAUUCACGCGUAUCCUCUAACGUUACUUCAAUUUCUAUCGUGAAACACAACACGGUUGGUGAAUUAGAGAAAAUCGAGACACCCCUGUGUGGGGUGAGUUCUCGAAUGGCGGAUGAGAGGGUAAACAGGGUAUUUCGAGUGGGGUCGCGUACACUUCACGUAGCACGGCUGCCUGUAUGGGAAUGGCUAAUUCAACGAACAGGGAAAUACGAGGCGAGAAGAAGGGUUCACGAAAAUUAGCCGAAACAAUGGAAGAUAGUGGCAGAUGCAAAUUCGAGCUUCGAAUCCUCGGCUGUCGCGGGUAUUAUUGUUGAAUCUUAAAACUCGAAGGGCCACGCAUAUGUUGACGCACUCCAUGGACAGUUACGGACACUUUAGAUAAGAAGCGGAAGAAUGGCAAUAGCUCGUUCGAUCGAUGCUCGGAACAACGUAAUUAACCGGUGCUCAGUUACAAGCUGUUGGCUAUUGCGCUGUCGUGACGAGAAACGAGCAUUUCCUUUCACGUGUGCAUUGGUUAUCCAUUUCUUUCUGCCCAUUCUUCCUCUAAUUACGCACACAAUGCGCAUUAUAAAUUAUACACGCCUAUUAACGUCGAGUGGAUUGCGCGCCACAUAUAUCUCGUUGCUCCGUCUGAAUCGUCCUUUAAAAGAAAGAAAGUAUGAAUUUCAUUGGGCAAUGAAUGGAAUCACAUUUAUGGAAUCAUAUCUGGAUUAUUCUAAUUUCAGAUUUAUACAAUCGUUUUGCAGUUGGUUUCUGCAAAUUUGAUCAGAGUAAAUCCUUUUAGUUAAAUAGAUUUAGAUAAUUACAGAAACUUUCCUAUGUUAAUUGAACGAGAAACCAAUAUCAAUUCUAUAAUCCAGUGAUCUAAUAAUAGCACAUCCGUUUAGAAUGCGAGUUUAUCAGUCCGGAAAAUUGCCGUUCCGUUCGUUAUGCCGCCACUUAUUGCGACCAUCAUCGUCUCAGCGUUUUGCCUCCUUAUUUGUCAUUGCUAUUAUUAGAAAGAAAAAAGCAACAGAAAAAUGAUUAUCGUACAAUUUGUCUAUAUAUACUAUAUCUUUUGAUCUUUUAUGUUUUCUAUCAUAUUCUUUUGGUUAACAUAAUAUCUCUUAAAUCUUAGUUAAAAUCUAUUUUAUCACUGAUGAAACAUUUUGAUCAGAAUGGAUUAGAAAUGAUUAAUCGUGAAUUACCAUUUUCAUUUUAAAUCUUCGUUAAGAUCUAUUGAUUACCUUAUCUGUGAUUAUACAAAUUUUUUAAAUCUUACAAUUGGUUAAGGUCUUGCAUUUUAUCACCAAUGCCACGUCCUGAUUCGAAUUAAUUGGAAGUUAACAUUGACGUAAUAUUCUAAUCAGAAUGAACUAGAAAUUAUUACACGCACAUAAAUUACCAUUUCAUUUUAAACCUCAAUUAGCACCUAAAAAUAUAUCGAUUACCAUAUUUAUCAUUGACUAUAAAAAUAUUCGAAUCUUAAUUUAUGUCUUACAUACUAUCACACGUUACAUUCUAAUCAAAACUAAUUAGAAGUCACUAAUCGUACAUUAGCAUCUUUAAUUUCAAAUUUCAAUUAGGAUAUAAAAAUUUACCGAGCACGAAUGAGUAUUUGGAAAGUCAUUAAAACAAAAGAAUGUUACGUGCAGGUAGAUAUUUUGUUAACACGCAAGUUCUGCUUUUUUGCCGAGCGUUUAUGGUUGCUGACCACGUCCGUUCAGAAAAUAGCCGAUACCGUAAAAGUGAAUUCAGACUAAUUUGUUGGUCGCUCAGCAGCUGCCAUUCGCAAUUACUCGACGCAAUAAUUGAGUUCAUGUGUCUUUGUACCCAUUUUUCUCUAUCUGUUACCGUUUUCUGCCUUUGUUUCGCUCUAUGAUCAGCUUGAAACGAAAAGAAACUAAUUAUCAAGUCGUACACUUUCAUUGAUCGUGAAAUUUAUGAGAAAACUGUGACUUUUAGGAAUAUAAAGUAGCUCUAAUGAAGAUUUUACGGCCGAUAAAUACAUAUCGCGAAACGAGACAAUUAAGAUCAAUCUAGUUUAGUAACGUGUGUUUCUUUCAUCCAUUAAUCGUGUCGGAUAAUCUUUGCUUCUCAGAGUUUUCUUAAAGCCUAACACAGUAAUAAAAUUAGUCUGGUGCAUAAACAAUCUAGUUCCGAAAGAAAUGCGAAAAAAUAUAUUUGCCAGUACAUGUAUUAAGAUUAUUGUAUUGUAUACAGAUUAAUGGUAAAGACAAAUAAAUUCUCUUAAAGCAGA